rnacentral:rRNA from 1 species
UACGAAGGGUGCAAGCGAUACUCGGAAUUACUGGGCGUAAAGCGUGCGUAGGUGGUUCGUUAAGUCUGUCGUGAAAGCCCCGGGCUCAACCUGGGAAUGGCGAUGGAUACUGGCGGGCUAGAGUGCGGUAGAGGAGAGUGGAAUUCCCGGUGUAGCAGUGAAAUGCGUAGAGAUCGGGAGGAACAUCAGUUGCGAAGGCGGCUCUCUGGACCAGCACUGACACUGAGGCACGAAAGCGUGGGGAGCAAACAGG